GAAUCACAAAACCUCUCCCGCUAAGCCACUCUUCCCACAGGUGACUCUACAAUCUGAGACAAUGUGUACUUGUUGGAAGGACCUUCACAGCAUAUACUCAACAGGCAAAACCCUCUCUGGGAACGUGAUUCGUCCUGGCAAAGCAGGCAUGAACAGAGAAGAAGAAUGCCAAUACCCUCUUGACCAUCAAGAUAUGCCAAAACCACUUUAGAGAAUAUUGGAAUAAAGUGCCUGAGAACAGAUCACCCAAGAAAAAGCCUCUCAGCAUAUUGAUUGGCUAGAAGACACUGCUGAGAGCUGGUAUAUGACUCUUAACAAACACAUUCCAUUGCAGGAGGAGUGUGUGGGCUUCUGAGACCCUACACAAGAUAAGUUACAUGGAACAAAGACUGAAAUAGUCAAUAAACCUGACCUUGUGACAGGAGGCCAUCAGGAAGCUCUGUGUGACUUUUGUCGGGGAAUAGCCAGUUCCCCCUCUUGGUUCUCUAUACAGUGGAGAACAUAUAUAUCCCCCUGAUUAAAGGCUCUGAAAGGAUAGUCUUAGCUGAUGCCUCCAAGAGCAAGUUGUUCUUCUGUCCACAAAGUCACCAUGAAAUUCAACUGGAGAAGCUUUGGAACUUAGCCGAUUCACUUUUCACUCUUACAGCCUGCCAGCGUUCUCUCUCUGGCCUGUGUCUACAUAAUAAAGUUGUUGAAGCGGUGUCUCUG
rnacentral:lncRNA from 1 species